rnacentral:rRNA from 1 species
AUUGAACGCUGGCGGCAGGCCUAACACAUGCAAGUCGAACGGCAGCACAGAAGAGCUUGCUCUUUGGGUGGCGAGUGGCGGACGGGUGAGUAAUGUCUGGGAAACUGCCCGAUGGAGGGGGAUAACUACUGGAAACGGCAGCUAAUACCGCAUAACGUCGCGAGACCAAAGUGGGGGACCUUCGGGCCUCACACCAUCGGAUGCGCCCAGAGGGGAUUAGCUAGUAGGUGGGGUAAUGGCUCACCUAGGCGACGAUCCCUAGCUGGGCUGAGAGGAUGACCGGCCACACUGGAACUGAGACACGGGCCAGACUCCUACGGUAGGCAGCAGUGGGGAAUAUUGCACAAUUGGCGCAAGCCUGAUGCAGCCAUGCCGCGUGUAUGAAGAAGGCCUUCGGGUUGUAAAGUACUUUCAGCGGGGAGGAAGGCGGUGAGGUUAAUAACCUCGCCGAUUGACGUUACCCGCAGAAGAAGCACCGGCUAACUCCGUGCCAGCAGCCGCCGUAA